rnacentral:rRNA from 1 species
CUCCUACGGGAGGCAGCAGUGGGGAAUAUUGGACAAUGGGCGCAAGCCUGAUCCAGCCAUGCCGCGUGAGUGAUGAAGGCCCUAGGGUUGUAAAGCUCUUUCGCCAGGGACGAUAAUGACGGUACCUGGAUAAGAAGCCCCGGCUAACUUCGUGCCAGCAGCCGCGGUAAUACGAAGGGGGCUAGCGUUGUUCGGAAUCACUGGGCGUAAAGCGCACGUAGGCGGAUCUUUAAGUCAGGGGUGAAAUCCCGAGGCUCAACCUCGGAACUGCCUUUGAUACUGGAGGUCUCGAGUCCGGGAGAGGUGAGUGGAACUGCGAGUGUAGAGGUGAAAUGCGUAGAUAUCGGAAGGAACACCAGCGGCGAAGGCGGCUCUCUGGACUGAAACUGACGCUGAGGCGCGAAAGCGUGGGGAGCAAACAGGAUUAGAUACCCUGGUAGUCCACGCUGUAAACGAUGAGAACUAGCUGUUGGUACAUUUGUAUCAGUAGCGCAGCUAACGCGAUAAGUUCUCCGCCUGGGGAUUACGGUCGCAAGACUAAAACUCAAAGGAAUUGACGG